rnacentral:tRNA from 2 species
GGCGGUAUAGCCAAGAGGCUAAGGCAGAGGUUCGCAAAACCUUUAUCAUCCGUUCGAAUCGGAUUACCGCCU